CUCUAGUUGACUCCUAUGACUGAAAGGAGUAAAAAAAUUCUAGGAUUCUACGUUAUCUUCAAAAUUUCUUACACCAAAAUUAUUAAGUUUGAACGCAUUUAGAUUAUACAUAAGAAAUAUUCCUCUUUUUUCCUUCAAAAAAUUCAAUCAUUUCUUCUUUGCCCACACAAUCAAAUAAUAUGCAUAAAGGUAUGAUCUUCCAAUCUUUUCUUCAUCUCUUUUCCACUGUCUGCCCUUGCCAGCACUGCAGUAUCACUUUCAGAUCUCCAGGCAUCACCCACUGUACACACUGUAUUCCAUAACCUCAGGAAAAUGAUCCAUAUCUGCCAUGCAAAUCUGCAAUGAAUAAACAAGUGGUUCACGGUCUCCAUUUCUUCCACAGAUGAACUGUAUCUGCUAAAUAAAAGCCAAGAAUGUCUCGAACAAGAACUCUUUAAAAUGUCUUAAGAAUAGCAAAUACCCUCAAAGUUCAAAUUAUAUAAACGGAUUCUACUACACAUCAUUUACAGCCCCUCUAGUUUUAUACCAACGGAACCAAUAAACUAAAAUAUGAGCAUCUGUGUUUGCUUCAAUCAGUGCUUAACAUUCUACAGGACAUACUAUCAUGAAUCAAUCAAUCACUACAUAAGCAACUGCUAUACCUCUGCACAAGCAGCUAUCAUGAUAAACGAACCUUUUAAAGAACUCAGCAACAAUAUAUAACAGAAUAUUAAGCUUUUACCCAUUAUGUUUUAUGGUGCCUGACAAUUUCCGUUUAUGCUAGAUAACCAUCUAGAAAAGAAGCUGCAUAAGAUCGCGCCUGGCAAACUCACUGCUAAGCAUCGUACAAGGCUACAAGCUACUACGAAAGUACAAGCUAGCAAGAACUAUCUAGCAAUAUACAGUGAAAAACUACAUCAAUUCUCCUCAAGGACAUCACUAACUUUUGGACCAUCUCAAGCAGGGAAGUAUUAUCUUGAUAGGUUUGGCAAAAGGCCGACCACACGACUGAGAAACUUUAUUUUGCAUCAGAAACAGCAAAAGAACAGGAUCAGUUUUGUGAUCCACCCGCUGACUAAAGGCCUUUAUUGCUAAAACUGAGCCCCAAUGGUUAUCAUGCAUUUUAACCAGUAGAGGUGAAGUUGGUAUCGUUAUGGAUGACCUGCAAAGCAGCUUAAGUCCAAUGAUAUAAACUGCUAAGCAGGUGAAAGCAGACAUCACUGCUUGAAGACGGGAGGAGACAACCACAAUCGUAAUGCAGGAACGACGCCUAUCACACUCAAAUGCUCUUAAUGCAUUUAUGCAGAACCCCUAAAAAUAAUAAUGGUGAUGAUGAGAGAAAUAAAUGAAAAUAUGAUGCAUAAUCACUUGUUAAAUUCUUAAACAUAUACUUCACCAAAACAAUAAAUAAUUUUUUUGAUAACGUGGUGUUGGGGCCAGCUUGCGCGCACCUUGACUAAAUACAUACGGUACCUGUUGCUUCCCACCAGCACAGAUACCGGGUGCUCCGUCUACUAGGGCUUAAAUAGAUGGGAAGAAAUCACCUAGUGUUUUUGCCUCUGCUGAGAACCAAAACAAUAAAUAAUUGUAAUGACUAUUAUCAUCAUUUAAAUCCAUCUCCCAAUUUGUUUGAUACUAUUUCCUUUUUCCCUCCCAAAGAUUGGCAUCUCUCUAUAAUUAGAAACCAAUUAACUUUUAUUCCCAUUUUGUGAUUGACAUGCUUGUUGUAGGCUACAGUGCCCCCACUGAGAUGAAUUACUUGGUAUGACAAUACCUUUGGUACUUUAUUUAUAUCUAACUUAAGUGUGAAAGUCAUCCUUUCUUUCUUAAUCUUCGUGUCUAAUACAAAUUGGGGACACGGGGAAUAUUUAUUAUUGCUAUCCCAAACUCUUCAAAAUCUAAUAGAAAUCGAAAAACUGAGCCGGAAAUAACAACAAUACCCAUACAUAUUUUGGAAAUAGAUGCAUUCAGAAGGACAUGAUCAACACUUUAUAUACUAAUAAAUUACAAUGUUGGUGCCCCAAAGUUUUCCAUGAAAUUUAGUUUUAGGAAAUUAUUAACUAGAAUAGUCAGAGUUCCAGAUAGAUGCCACAACAUGCCAAAGAUAUUACAACAACAACAACAACCCAGUAAAAUUCCACUAAUGGGGUCUGGGUAGGGUAGUGUGUACGCAGACCUUACCCCUACCCCGAAGGAGUAGAGAGGCUGUUUCCGAAAGACCC
rnacentral:lncRNA from 1 species